rnacentral:rRNA from 1 species
GAGUGGCGAACUGGUGAGUAACACGUGGGAAACCUGCCCAGAAGCGGGGGAUAACACCUGGAAACAGAUGCUAAUACCGCAUAACAACUUGGACCGCAUGGUCCGAGUUUGAAAGAUGGCUUCGGCUAUCACUUUUGGAUGGUCCCGCGGCGUAUUAGCUAGAUGGUGGGGUAACGGCUCACCAUGGCAAUGAUACGUAGCCGACCUGAGAGGGUAAUCGGCCACAUUGGGACUGAGACACGGCCCAAACUCCUACGGGAGGCAGCAGUAGGGAAUCUUCCACAAUGGACGAAAGUCUGAUGGAGCAACGCCGCGUGAGUGAAGAAGGGUUUCGGCUCGUAAAACUCUGUUGUUAAAGAAGAACAUAUCUGAGAGUAACUGUUCAGGUAUUGACGGUAUUUAACCAGAAAGCCACGGCUAACUACGUGCCAGCAGCCGCGGUAAUACGUAGGUGGCAAGCGUUGUCCGGAUUUAUUGGGCGUAAAGCGAGCGCAGGCGGUUUUUUAAGUCUGAUGUGAAAGCCUUCGGCUCAACCGAAGAAGUGCAUCGGAAACUGGGAAACUUGAGUGCAGAAGAGGACAGUGGAACUCCAUGUGUAGCGGUGAAAUGCGUAGAUAUAUGGAAGAACACCAGUGGCGAAGGCGGCUGUCUGGUCUGUAACUGACGCUGAGGCUCGAAAGUAUGGGUAGCAAACAGGAUUAGAUACCAUGGUAGUCCAUACCGUAAACGAUGAAUGCUAAGUGUUGGAGGGUUUCCGCCCUUCAGUGCUGCAGCUAACGCAUUAAGCAUUCCGCCUGGGGAGUACGGCCGCAAGGCUGAAACUCAAAGGAAUUGACGGGGGCCCGCACAAGCGGUGGAGCAUGUGGUUUAAUUCGAAGCUACGCGAAGAACCUUACCAGGUCUUGACAUACUAUGCAAAUCUAAGAGAUUAGACGUUCCCUUCGGGGACAUGGAUACAGGUGGUGCAUGGUUGUCGUCAGCUCGUGUCGUGAGAUGUUGGGUUAAGUCCCGCAACGAGCGCAACCCUUAUUAUCAGUUGCCAGCAUUAAGUUGGGCACUCUGGUGAGACUGCCGGUGACAAACCGGAGGAAGGUGGGGAUGACGUCAAAUCAUCAUGCCCCUUAUGACCUGGGCUACACACGUGCUACAAUGGAUGGUACAACGAGUUGCGAACUCGCGAGAGUAAGCUAAUCUCUUAAAGCCAUUCUCAGUUCGGAUUGUAGGCUGCAACUCGCGUACAUGAAGUCGGAAUCGCUAGUAAUCGCGGAUCAGCAUGCCGCGGUGAAUACGUUCCCGGGCCUUGUACACACCGCCCGUCACACCAUGAGAGUUUGUAACACCC